UAGACAAUAAACUCCUUGAAUAACAGAGGACCUGGAAUGUUGUCUGUAACACAGAAGAUUCUUAAUAAAGGCCUGCCAACUUGAAGUGGACUUAACACACCUGCUCUUGCCAUAAGCACAUUGUUUUCAAGAACCACCUGGUAUAAGUUGAAGUGUCAAAAAAUUACACAAUAAAUGUCCAAUUUUCAGAGUGGGGCUCGAAACAGCAGAAGCCUUAGCUGAGUGGAUGAUCGUGUGAAUGACUGGCCUUUUCAUGCCUCUUCCCUGAGCUACCGCAAGUGCUCACACGGGAAGAGCACAAUCUCCAGGAGCUUCUGCAGCAACUUCGCAUUCUUCAGUAAGGUGUUCUCCUACAGCACAUGCUGCCUUCAGAAUUUCAGUAAUUGCUCAUAAAUCCUACUAAGCUCCGGAAGCUUUUGGUCCAUUUGUUCAGCUCUGGUGUGCUGUGGACGAAUAAACCAGAGUGAGACCCCAGUACUUGGAAUCAACUCUUGGGAAUUAAACAGCCCAGUAAGAUGCUGGUUUAUUCCCAUCAGAUAUGAUGGCUUAGAGUAAACAUACCUUGUAUGAUGGGCCGACAUGCAAUGCCUCAUUUCUGGGAAAGCAGAAAGCACCUAGAGCCUUCCUCCAUUGUGAUAUCAGUGGAGGUCAACAGAACACAGAUCAGAGACUAAAUACAGGAAUAAUUACAACUUUCCUUCAUUGCCAAAAGAAAUUGGUAAUAUGCUUGUUUGACUAUAGCCCUGGGCUCAACACAGAGGCUCAAGAACUGGAUAGUAUUCUCAUCACCUUAGAGUUUACAAAGGGAGUUUGCAUCCUCAAUGUCUUUGUUCUCCCAUUGAGAAAAUGGAGGGAGAGCUCCCAGGUAAAACAGAAGCCCUCCUAUACCUUUUUGUAUGUCUUCCCAUAGGUACUGAGAGGUAAUGAACACUAAGCCACAUUUUUCAUCUCCCAUCUUUUACUUGACACUGUGUAUCCAGUUCCUGUUCUAGAUGCAAAGUCUCACUGAAGUAGCAUGAUGACUACUUGUAUUUUCUUUCUUUCCAUCCAUUCGCUAGAUUUGCAACCUAAACCCAUAUAAUCUCUGCUGUGCUCUGAAUGUUUUUGUCCCUCCCUCAAAGUUGGUAUGUUGAAAUCCUAAUUCCCAAGGCAAUGGCUUUAAGAGGUGGCAUCUUUGGGAGGGGAUUGGGUCAUGAAGUUGGAGUCUUCAUAAGUGGGAUUUGUUCCCCUAUGAAAGAGGUCUAGAGAGAGUCCUCCACCCUUCCAUCAUGUGAGGUUAUAGUGAGAAGACAGCUGUCUAUGAGGAAGAUGCCCUUACCUAGCUCCAAAUCUGCUUGCACCUUGAUCUAGG
rnacentral:lncRNA from 1 species